rnacentral:rRNA from 1 species
CUGGCGGCGUGCCUAAUACAUGCAAGUCGAACGCACUCUCGUUUUGAUUGAAGGAGCUUGCUCCUGAUUGAUAACAUUGAGUGAGUGGCGGACGGGUGAGUAACACGUGGGUAACCUGCCCUAAGUGGGGAUAACAUUUGGAAACAGAUGCUAAUACCGCAUAAAACCUAACACCGCAUGGUGUAGGGUUGAAAGAUGGUUUCGGCUAUCACUUUAGGAUGGACCCGCGGUGCAUUAGUUAGUUGGUGAGGUAAAGGCUCACCAAGACCGUGAUGCAUAGCCGACCUGAGAGGGUAAUCGGCCACACUGGGACUGAGACACGGCCCAGACUCCUACGGGAGGCAGCAGUAGGGAAUCUUCCACAAUGGACGAAAGUCUGAUGGAGCAACGCCGCGUGAGUGAAGAAGGUUUUCGGAUCGUAAAACUCUGUUGUUGGAGAAGAAUGUAUCUGAUAGUAACUGAUCAGGUAGUGACGGUAUCCAACCAGAAAGCCACGGCUAACUACGUG